rnacentral:tRNA from 1 species
GGAGAGGUGGCCGAGCGGUUUAAGGCGCUCCCCUGCUAAGGGAGUAUGCCCUUUAACAGGGUAUCGAGGGUUCGAAUCCCUCCCUCUCCG